UAAUACAGAGGGUGCAAGCGUUAAUCGGAAUUACUGGGCGUAAAGCGUGUGUAGGUGGAUGCUUAAGUCAGAUGUGAAAGCCCCGGGCUCAACCUGGGAAUUGCAUCUGAUACUGGGCGUCUAGAGUAUGGUAGAGGAUGGCGGAAUUUCCGGUGUAGCGGUGAAAUGCGUAGAUAUCGGAAGGAACACCAGUGGCGAAGGCGGCCGUCUGGGCCAAUACUGACACUGAGACACGAAAGCGUGGGUAGCAAACAGG
rnacentral:rRNA from 1 species